GGAGCUGGAGCUCCAUGGUAGAGUGCUUGCAUAGCAAGCAUGAAGCCCUGGGUUCAGUCCCUAGUACCACCA
rnacentral:tRNA from 1 species